ACGUAGCCUUGGCCCAAGUGCAAGGUGAACCACUAUACAUCUGGUGUCAUAUCUCUCUCUCUCCCCAUCAUGCUUCUUAGUUACCGUAUUCUUCAAUAGAAACAGACAUCAUCCCACGACACAAACCUGGUCAGGCUAAACCGCUAGACAAUGGCAAAUAUUGUACAUACCUUGAGGAAGCCGGCCACCCUACCAAUAUUUGUUGGGCACUAAAAAAUGCUAUUGAGCACCUCAUUCAAAGCGGCCAGCUCUCACAAUAUCAUACUCCCGCAACAGGAACCAAUGCCAUUGAAGUCUACGGACAGAUUCUAACUAUACAUGGAGGGGCCCCAAGAGCACCCGAGACUCUUCACGCACAAAAGCGGCAAUGCCCUAGGUGCUAAGAGGUGUUGGGACUCAGUCAUGGCUGCCACACCCCCAGGUGGAGUGGGACUCGAUAGCUUUUAAUCGCAAUGAGGACACCAUAAGGAAGCAUCAUAAUGACCCCUUCUUGAUCACCAUGGUUAUCAACCACUAUCGAUGCCAUUGGUUCCUAGUCGAUAGCGGCGCAGUGGUCAGUGUCAUGUUUGGCAGUUGCUUUGAAGGUCUGAACCAAGACAAGAAGAAACUCACCCAAGACUACGAGCCCUAAUCAGCUUUGCAGGAGAAAUCACACAGCCCUUGGGAUCUAACAAUUUGUUGACCACACUGGGUGGAGGCAGCACUAUCGCCACUAUGACAACGCAGUUGAUGACAACGCACUUCAUCGUUGUCGACUGUCCCUCCUCCUAUAACGUCAUCUUAGGACGAGACUCCAUUUGGGGACUUCAAUGCUUUGUCACAGGGCACAUGUUAAUGAUGAAAGAUACUUACCCCCGGGGGCAUCCUCACCAUUUGAGGAGAUCAGAAGCUAGCGAGAUAGUGCAACUCCUUGACUGUCGCGAGGGGACAUGGCAGGCGAGAGGUACUCUUAACCACGAACCUGCCCUCCCCAUCUGACAAGCCCGACAAUCCAAGGGAAGAUCCCGAGACCCCAGAUGCCUGCGAUACAAGCAGCAAAAAGAAGGAAGAUAAGCGCAAACUCAAGCCCUCGAGACCAGAUGCUUUGGAAGACCUGAUAUCGGUCUCAAUAUCCGAUACACACCCAGAAAGAAAGGUCAAGAUCGGUUCCAAGACAAACCCACACUUCCAAGCAGAAUUAAUCGCCUUCCUCAAGACUAGACAUGAGGUGUUAGCAUGGUCAGACACCUAUAUGCCAGGGUUUAUGACAAAGUAAUUUAAUAGAUAGAGAGUUAGAGAGAGAAAGAGAGACUCAUUUUUAAAUAGAUGACAAAGGAUAAAAUAUGUCUCUAUGGAGCAAGUGGUGUUUUGGCUUAUAAAGGAGUUGCUAACUGGUAUAAUUAUACAAAUCAUAAAAGGUUAGAAUGAUAAUAGAGGGGUUACAACCAAAUCGCCAUGGAAUCCUCCGAUCAAGAACACACCUCCUUCACUACCGACAAGGGCUUAUAUUGUUAAAAGGUAAUGCGAUUUGGCCUAAAAAACGCUGGAGCCACGUACCAAAGACUAGUUAACGCUAUGUUCGCAGACCAUAUCGGAAAAAUAAUGGAGGUAUAUGUAGAUGAUAUGUUUGUCAAGAGUGUCACCAUUGAGGACCAUAUCAAAAACCUGGGCAUCGUCUUCGACAUCUUACUCCAGUACGGUAUGCGACUCAACCCAGACAAGUGCGUGUUCGGCGUGCUUGGAGGAAAAUUCCAGGACUUUGUAGUCAGCGAGAGAGGCAUUGAAGCAAAUCCAGAGAAAGUACAGGCCAUUCUCGAUAUGGCACCGCCAAAGACAAGGAACGAAGUACAAUCCCUUACAGGGAAUGUCGUCGCUCUUGCCUGGUUCAUAUCGCGCUUAACCGACAAAUGCGCUCCUUCUUCAAGCUCCUUAAAACUCACCACACCGAGAAAAUCAAUUGGGGACCCGAGCAUGACAAAGCUUUUCAAGGCAUCCUAGACUACAUGGCAUCAGUGCCCACUCUUUCCAAACCCGUCCCAGGAGAAGUCUUGUACAUCUAUCACUACUAGCAAAAUAACAAUACACACGGAUUUACUGUAUCUAAAAAGCACAAAUAUCUGUGUGAAACAUAAAUACUAACAGAUAACCGUGUGAAAUGAUCAUAAUUGGGCCCACAAUAAUUUAAAAAAUAACAAUAUCAACGGAAAUCUGUGUGAGUUAACACCACUAACAGAUGUCUGUGUGUAAACAAAAAUAUUUUCACAUGGUUAUCUGUGUGAAUAUCAAUUCACACUGAUUUCUGUACAUAUUACAAAUUAGUUUAUUUAGAAAUCGUUAAUUUUUUAUGAUAUGUGAAUUAUGGAGGGACGGAUUUCUGUUACAAUAACUUUUUGGUACAGAUUUCUGUGUAAGAUGAGUAAUACACGAAUAUCUGUGUGAAAUUAAGACAUGGAUAUCCAUGUGAAAAGAAAAAUCAGCUACAGAAUUCUGUGUGAAAAGAGGAACUAGAUACAAAUUCUGUGUAAUUGAUCAAAUGACAAUUAACAUGACAGCUAGCUAUUGAGUUACUGAGAUAAAUACACACGGACAUCUGUAACAAAUGUAAAUGUAUUUCACACGGAUUUCCGUGACUAUUCUACUUAAUGUUACAGACAUCCGUGUAAAAAGAAGCUACAUACGAAAUUCUGUAUAAAAAAUUCAAAAUUGAUGCGAUGUUCUUUCAGGUAGCUAUCUACACACAGAUAUUUGUGAGAAUUUUGAAUGUAUCUCACACGGAUUUCAAUGUGAGAUACAUUGGUUAUACGUCCCCCGCCGCGCUCUCAAUCUCAUCAAAUCCUUUAUUUUUUUUUUUUAACCGAUAAGGGAUUAUGCGAUAUUAGUUCCUCAGAGAUGGACGAUGUAGGGAACAAUCUCAUCAAAUCCUUCAUCUUCUACUCUCUCCUAUCCAUUCCCAAUCCUAUACUUACACUUAUCCCCUCAGAGACCCAAGUCCAAAAUCCUAAACUUGGAAAUUUAUUUUUCAAUUUUAGGAUUUUCUUCACCCAUCACCUUGCAUGAUUUUCUUCCUCUCAUUGAUAUCUUCGAACCCAGAUUCAAUCUCAGAUAUAAGAAAAAGUAUAUCGAUUCCAGUUGUUUGUGGUGGAUUGCUUUAGAUGUGUUCAUUGUGAAAAGGUUCGUGAAAUCUGGAUUUCUUUUCUUUCGGAUGUUGAUUUUAUGGUUAGUUAAUUUCAUUCAAUAAUAUUCUUGUUUCUUUCUACUUGGUUUUGCAGCUCAUUUAAUUUCAUUCAAGUUUACUGUCUUUAUAAUUUUUUCAUAUCUUUGGUUCAUGGAUCCUUCUGGUAAUGCUUUUGCAGAUCCAUGAAUUUCAUUCAAAAUCCUUAUGGCUGCGUUCGUGGCAAGCAUGGUCUGGGCUUACAGCACAUUUACUAGAGGGUUAACUUUUACAAUUGGGUUUAGAUGUAAUUAGUAAUUACUGGGAGGCUAGAAGUAGUUUUAUCUCAUGGUAAUUGGGUACUUGAAGUGGUUGUUGAUUCUGAAUUUCUGACUAGUCAUCUUUCAUUGUCUAUAAGAAUCUGAUCUAUUAUGUAGUUCAUGACCUGUGGGUUGGCUAUGUGAUUCGGAUUUCCUGAA